ACUUAAUUAAGCUAAUUAAGCUAAUGGGUUCAUACCUCAUUGAUGGUAUAGGGUAUUAAUUUCU
rnacentral:tRNA from 1 species